rnacentral:rRNA from 1 species
GGGGAAUUUUGGACAAUGGGGGCAACCCUGAUCCAGCCAUGCCGCGUGAGUGAAGAAGGCCUUCGGGUUGUAAAGCUCUUUCAGGUGGAAAGAAAUCGCAUCUUUUAAUACAGGGUGUGGAUGACGGUACCAUCAGAAGAAGCACCGGCUAACUACGUGCCAGCAGCCGCGGUAAUACGUAGGGUGCGAGCGUUAAUCGGAAUUACUGGGCGUAAAGCGUGCGCAGGCGGUUAUGUAAGACAGAUGUGAAAUCCCCGGGCUCAACCUGGGAACUGCGUUUGUGACUGCAUAACUAGAGUACGGCAGAGGGAGGUGGAAUUCCGCGUGUAGCAGUGAAAUGCGUAGAGAUGCGGAGGAACACCGAUGGCGAAGGCAGCCUCCUGGGCCAGUACUGACGCUCAUGCACGAAAGCGUGGGGAGCAAAC